rnacentral:rRNA from 1 species
AUCGGUAAGCGGAGGAAAAGAAACCAACAGGGAUUGCCCCAGUAACGGCGAGUGAAGCGGCAAAAGCUCAAAUUUGAAAUCUGGCCUCCUACGGGGGUCCGAGUUGUAAUUUGUAGAGGAUGCUUCGGGUGUGGCCGCCGUCUAAGUUCCUUGGAACAGGACGUCAGAGAGGGUGAGAAUCCCGUCUUGGGCGGCCGGUCCGCGCCCGUGUGAAGCUCCUUCGAAGAGUCGAGUUGUUUGGGAAUGCAGCUCUAAGCGGGUGGUAAAUUUCAUCUAAAGCUAAAUACUGGUCGGAGACCGAUAGCGCACAAGUAGAGUGAUCGAAAGGUUAAAAGCACCUUGAAAAGGGAGUUAAACAGCACGUGAAAUUGUUGAAAGGGAAGCGCUUGCGGCCAGACUCGGGGGCGGGGUUCAGCGGGUGCUCGUCGCCCGUGCACUCCCCGUCUCCCGGGCCAGCAUCAGUUUCGACGGCCGGUCAAAGGCCUCCGGAAUGUGUCGUCUCUCGGGACGUCUUAUAGCCGGGGGUGCAAUGCGGCCCGUCGGGACUGAGGAACGCGCUUCGGCUCGGAUGCUGGCGUAAUGGCCGUAAGCGGCCCGUCUUGA